UACGUAGGGGGCAAGCGUUGUCCGGAUUUAUUGGGCGUAAAGAGCGUGUAGGCGGCCAGGUAGGUCAGCUGUGAAAACUCGAGGCUCAACCUCGAGACGUCGGUUGAAACCACCUGGCUAGAGUCCGGAAGAGGAGAGUGGAAUUCCUGGUGUAGCGGUGAAAUGCGCAGAUAUCAGGAAGAACACCCGUGGCGAAGGCGGCUCGCUGGGACGUGACUGACGCUGAGACGCGAAAGCGUGGGGAGCAAACAGG
rnacentral:rRNA from 1 species